UAAAGAAUUAUCGCUGAUAGAUGGGCAUGCGUUCCAUUAGAUAGUUGGUGAGGUAACGGCUCACCAAGUCCACGAUGGAUAGGGGUUCUGAGAGGAAGGUCCCCCACACUGGUACUGAGACACGGACCAGACUCCUACGGGAGGCAGCAGUGAGGAGUAUUGGUCAAUGGGCGAGAGCCUGAACCAGCCAAGUCGCGUGAAGGAUGAAGGAUCUAUGGUUUGUAAACUUCUUUUAUAUGGGAAUAAAGUGAGGAACGUGUUCCUUUUUGUAUGUACCAUAUGAAUAAGCAUCGGCUAACUCCGUGCCAGCAGCCGCGGUAAUACGGAGGAUGCGAGCGUUAUCCGGAUUUAUUGGGUUUAAAGGGUGCGUAGGUGGUUAAUUAAGUCAGCGGUGAAAGUUUGUGGCUCAACCAUAAAAUUGCCGUUGAAACUGGUUGACUUGAGUAUAUUUGAGGUAGGCGGAAUGCGUGGUGUAGCGGUGAAAUGCAUAGAUAUCACGCAGAACUCCGAUUGCGAAGGCAGCUUACUAAACUAUAACUGACACUGAAGCACGAAAGCGUGGGGAUCAAACAGGAUUAGAUACCCUGGUAGUCCACGCAGUAAACGAUGAUUACUAGCUGUUUGCGAUACACAGUAA
rnacentral:rRNA from 1 species